rnacentral:lncRNA from 1 species
UGUCCCAGGACGCAGGAUUGGCGCUGAGCUCGGGAUCUCUGUGUGCACCUGCAUCGCUGGUCUGGAAACUGGACGGCCCCAAACUGAGUCCAAGUCCUGCAUCUGCCAGUCGUGUGAACUUGGGUGAGUGACUUAGCCUCGCUGUGUCUCAGUUUCCUUAUCAGGAAAAUCUAGCCAUUCACCACCCCUUCCUCAGUGGGCUGCUGUGGGGACUGGAGUUAGCAUGUGCACGGGC